CCAGCACCGAAUCCUGUAUCGUCUUGAUACUAGGAAAUGUGGUGUUUAGGCCGUGCUUUGUGCCGGUAUGAUUCUCCUCAAGUCCACUUGAUUGUGGCUUCAGGCCCAGAGAGGGUGUAAGGCCCGUGGAGGCGAGUCGUCCGGUGCCCGGCACGUCCUUAGAGUCGGGUUGUUUGGGAAUGCAGCCCAAAGCGGGUGGUAAACUCCAUCCAAGGCUAAAUACUAGCACGAGUCCGAUAGCGAAGAAGUACCGCGAGGGAAAGUUGAAAAGAACUUUGAAGAGAGAGUUCAAGAGUACGUGAAACCGCUGAGAGGCAAACUGGUGGAGCUGAAAUGGUCUUGAGGAAUUCAGCCCUUCCUACUAGAGUUGGCGUCGGUUGUGAGAUCUCACGACUCCGCUGGCGUUCAUCUUCGUGAAGGAUAGGUGCACUUUCCUCUUGAUCGGACCACGACCAGCGACUUGUUUCUUGUCUGACAUAGACGGAAGGUAGCGUUGGCUUCGGCGAACGUGUUAUAGCCGGUUAUUUGGAUGAGCAAGGCGUUGGAUGCAAUGCUAGGCGCUUGCCCUUUUGGGCUCGUACGUUGUCACUUUCAGGUGUGUCGCCGGCUUCACUGCCUUUGGCAGGGGUGUUGGAGACGCGUCGGUUAGCGGCGGCCUCUGCGAUUGGCGUCGAAAGUCUGUGGUUAUGAAGUAGGCAGUCCACCUGACCCGUCUUGAAACACGGACCAAGGAGUCUAACAUGUGCGCGAGUCAUUGGGCUCUACGAAACCUAAAGGCGCAGUGAAAGUAAAGAUCCAUUUUGAUGGAUUGAGGUGGGAUCCUGAGUCACGUGCUCGGGCGCACUACCGGCCCGUUCGACAUGUAUUCAUGCGGGCGGAGCAAGAGCGUACACGUUGGGACCCGAAAGAUGGUGAAUCUAUG
rnacentral:rRNA from 1 species